AUUGAACGCUGGCGGAAUGCUUUACACAUGCAAGUCGAACGGCAGCACGGACUUCGGUCUGGUGGCGAGUGGCGCACGGGUGAGUAAUACAUCGGAACGUGCCCAGUCGUGGGGGAUAACGUAGCGAAAGCUACGCUAAUACCGCAUACGAUCUACGGAGGAAAGCGGGGGAUCGCAAGACCUCGCGCGAUUGGAGCGGCCGAUGGCAGAUUAGGUAGUUGGUAGGGUAAAGGCCUACCAAGCCGACGAUCUGUAGCUGGUCUGAGAGGAUGAUCAGCCACACUGGGACUGAGACACGGCCCAGACUCCUACGGGAGGCAGCAGAGGGGAAUUUUGGACAAUGGGCGCAAGCCUGAUCCAGCCAUUCCGCGUGCAGGAUGAAGGCCUUCGGGUUGUAAACUGCUUUUGUACAGAACGAAAAGGCUCUGGUUAAUACCUGGGGCUCAUGACGGUACUGUAAGAAUAAGCACCGGCUAACUACGUGCCAGCAGCCGCCGUAA
rnacentral:rRNA from 1 species